rnacentral:tRNA from 1 species
GGAGACAUGGCUCAGUUGGAAGAGUGCUUGCCUAGCGUGCAGCAGCCCUGGGUUCCAGCCCCAUGUCUGCA